GACCUCACUCUAUAGACAGCGCCACACAUAGGAAGAUGGCCCUGCCACUUGCUGAUAGAAGCUCAAGGACGCAGAAGAUUAGAAUCUUACCAAUGGCUGAUUGUGAUCCCGAGUGCCAACGCACAGAAAUGAUUAAGAAAGAAGAACGUUUGAGGGCUUCUACUCAGCAGACAGUCCAUCUGUGGGAGAGGCAGAACCGGCAGGGGCUGGGUGUCCCCCACCAGGGCCGCAGUAGUGUCCAUGAGGACGAGGAAGGCACCGAAGCCUGAAAAACCAUUACCACGGGGACCUCUGAGGAGGUAAGGCCUCCAAAGAAAAAGAAGAGCGGAGGUUAAAGAGGAAGAACAUGACUGAAGAAUGAAGUAUGUGCUCAAUAUGUACAGCUGACCCCUGAACACAGGUCUGAACUGCGCGGGCCCAUUCACACACAGCUUCUUUGAUAGCUCUGGUACAGUACUGUAAAUGCAUGUUUUCUUCCUUGUAGCUUUUUUCC